UAACGGUUUCCAAGAUUCUUCCGUUCACGUUCCAAUGGUCAAGCGUAACAAUAGGCCUCAACGUCUUUGUUGCGCUUCUGAAGCCAAAAAUAUAGGAGAAUGGUGUGACGUUCGUCACACCAUGUGUUACGCUCGUAACACAAUUGGGUAAAGCGUGACGCUCGUCACAGCCUGUGUGACGCUCGUCACAGGCACAACACCUGUGUUUUUGGGCUGGGCUUUGGCUUUUGAUAUUUGCUUCUUUUCAUUCCUUUUUGCACCUCCUUUUCU
rnacentral:lncRNA from 1 species